rnacentral:rRNA from 1 species
ACGUAGGGGGCAAGCGUUGUCCGGAUUUAUUGGGCGUAAAGAGCGUGUAGGCGGCCAGGUAGGUGGGUUGUGAAAACUGGAGGCUCAACCUUCAGACGUCGACCCAAACCCCCUGGCUAGAGUCCGGAAGAGGAGAGUGGAAUUCCUGGUGUAGCGGUGAAAUGCGCAGAUAUCAGGAAGAACACCCGUGGCGAAGGCGGCUCUCUGGAACGGUACUGACGCUGAGACGCGAAAGCGUGGGGAGCGAACAGGAUUAGAUACCCUGGUAGUCCACGCCGUAAACGAUGGGUGCUAGGUGUGGGGGGUGUCAACUCCCUCCGUGCCGAAGCUAACGCAUUAAGCACCCCGCCUGGGGAGUACGGCCGCAAGGCUA